AUACAUCCCCAUUCACCUUCACCUUUUUCUGGGAAAGCUCCCAUCGAUUUUUACUGAAAUGGAACAUGAUGCCAGAUCUCCAGUGAUUUAGAAGCAAAUAUAUGUGGAUGCUUGCAA
rnacentral:lncRNA from 1 species